CAUUGUGGGAAUAAAGAACAACAAAAACAAUAUAAUUCACUGUCAAAUAAUCAUUAGGCAAUAACGUAGCUAGAGUGAAUUUGGUGAGAAUUAUUUCUAAAAUAGUGAAAAUUAGAUGAAUUAGUGAAGUUUGCAGAUAGUGGCCAAGAAAAUUAUAGCUUUCGGAUAGUAGUAGAGUAACGAAGAGAACUAUUCAUUUUUGAGCUGCAACGCAACAAGCUGCUACGAAAAAGGUUUUCUUUGUUUUGAGAUCCGAACAGUUCAUGUACCGAAAUAUCAGUAAUUUCUAUUGAUUACGGAAAGUUUUCGUCCAAAAUAAAUUACCGAACAACGGAAUCAAAUCUUAGUGUGUACGAUCCCUUUUUUCGACUUCCGCAACCGAGAACUGGGAUCCGAGGAUCAGGGUCAUGUCGCCGAAAGCCGUUUCGCCGAAAGUCAUUUCGUCGAAAGGGUCAUUUCGCCGAAAGCCAUUUCGCCGAAAGGGUCAUUUCGCCAAUUCCUACAAAUGUCUUAAAAUCGUAAUGGGAAUCGAUUUAAAAUAAAGACAAAUUAAAAAUAAUAACGUUUAUGCCCGUUUUGUUGACCUACAAUUCUACUUCUUGAAUAAAGAUUGAUUCAUGAACCUCAGAACGGAGUUCCCAAAGAAACUUGUUGACUACUAAUCAUCAAAACAAUGCCAUAGGUAUCUACCAAGCAAAUGUAUGUGGUAUUUUCCGUUUACUAAAUAAAAAAAUAUUUAAUGCGGCUUCGCCAUAUCGAUUUGAUUAGUGUGCUGU